GUGAGGAAUAUUGGUCAAUGGGCGCAAGCCUGAACCAGCCAUCCCGCGUGCAGGAAGACGGCCCUAUGGGUUGUAAACUGCUUUUCCAGGAGACGAACAGCUCUUACGUGUAAGGGUAUGACUGUACCUUGGGAAUAAGCAUCGGCUAACUCCGUGCCAGCAGCCGCGGUAAUACGGAGGAUGCAAGCGUUAUCCGGAUUCAUUGGGUUUAAAGGGUGCGUAGGCGGAUUAUUAAGUCAGUGGUGAAAUCCUACAGCUUAACUGUAGAACUGCCAUUGAUACUGAUAGUCUUGAAUUUGGUUAAGGUAGGCGGAAUGUGUAAUGUAGCGGUGAAAUGCUUAGAUAUUACACAGAACACCAAUUGCGUAGGCAGCUUACUGGACCGACAUUGACGCUGAGGCACGAAAGCGUGGGGAUCGAACAGGAUUAGAUACCCGAGUAGUCC
rnacentral:rRNA from 1 species